rnacentral:rRNA from 1 species
UGGGGAAUUUUACGCAAUGGGCGAAAGCCUGACGUAGCGACACCGCGUGAGCGAAGAAGCCCUUUGGGGUGUAAAGCUCUGUCAGCUGGAACGAAAAAAAUGACGGUACCAGCAGAGGAAGCAUCGGCUAACUACGUGCCAGCAGCCGCGGUAAGACGUAGGAUGCGAGCGUUGUCCGGAUUUAUUGGGCGUAAAGAGUUCGUAGGUGGUUUGUUAAGUCUGAUGUUAAAGAUUGGGGCUCAACCCUGAAAAUGCAUUGGAUACUGGCAGACUUGAGUGUGGUAGAGGCUAGUGGAAUUCCCAGUGUAGCGGUGAAAUGCGUAGAUAUUGGGAAGAACACCGGUGGCGUAGGCGACUAGCUGGGCCAUAACUGACACUGAGGAACGAAAGCCAGGGUAGCGAAU